UAGGGAAUCUUCGGCAAUGGACGAAAGUCUGACCGAGCAACGCCGCGUGAGUGAAGAAGGUUUUCGGAUCGUAAAACUCUGUUGUUAGAGAAGAACGUUGCAUAGAGUGGAAAAUUAUGCAAGUGACGGUAUCUAACCAGAAAGGGACGGCUAACUACGUGCCAGCAGCCGCGGUAAUACGUAGGUCCCGAGCGUUGUCCGGAUUUAUUGGGCGUAAAGCGAGCGCAGGUGGUUUAAUAAGUCUGAUGUAAAAGGCAGUGGCUCAACCAUUGUGUGCAUUGGAAACUGUUAGACUUGAGUGCAGUAGAGGAGAGUGGAAUUCCAUGUGUAGCGGUGAAAUGCGUAGAUAUAUGGAGGAACACCGGUGGCGAAAGCGGCUCUCUGGACUGUCACUGACACUGAGGCUCGAAAGCGUGGGUAGCAAACAGGAUUAGAUACCCUGGUAGUCCACGCCGUAAACGAUGAGUGCUAGUUGUUUGGGGCUAUCCAGCCCUAAGUGACGCAGCAAACGCAUUAAGCACUCCGCCUGGGGAGUACGACCGCAAUGGUUGAAACUCUAAAGUGAAUUGACG
rnacentral:rRNA from 1 species